GCCCAGGUGGCUCAGCGGUUGAGCAUCUGCCUUCAGCUCAGGGCGUGAUCUCGGGGUCCUGGGAUCGAGUCCCACAUUGGGCU
rnacentral:tRNA from 1 species